rnacentral:rRNA from 1 species
GAUGAACGCUGGCGGCGUGCCUAAUACAUGCCAGUCGAGCGAACGGACGAGAAGCUUGCUUCUCUGAUGUUAGCGGCGGACGGGUGAGUAACACGUGGAUAACCUACCUAUAAGACUGGGAUAACUUCGGGAAACCGGAGCUAAUACCGGAUAAUAUUUUGAACCGCAUGGUUCAAAAGUGAAAGACGGUCUUGCUGUCACUUAUAGAUGGAUCCGCGCUGCAUUAGCUAGUUGGUAAGGUAACGGCUUACCAAGGCAACGAUGCAUAGCCGACCUGAGAGGGUGAUCGGCCACACUGGAACUGAGACACGGUCCAGACUCCUACGGGAGGCAGCAGUAGGGAAUCUUCCGCAAUGGGUGAAAGCCUGACGGAGCAACGCCGCGUGAGUGAUGAAGGUCUUCGGAUCGUAAAACUCUGUUAUUAGGGAAGAGCAUAUGUGUAAGUAACUGUGCACAUCUUGACGGUACCUAAUCAGAAAGCCACGGCUAACUACGUG